UAUGCAUCUGCUCUCUGGCAAAUUCUCCUUGUUUUUGCCUGCUGCCAUACUGUUGCUCUUGUGAAUUCCUUGCUGAGGUCCUGGUCCUGAGUUAAUGAAGAGCUCAGGGAGGAGACGCACGUCUACUUCCCUUUGCCACCCUCCAGCACCCUCCCAUCAGUUCCAUGCAGCCAGCUGGAGCCAGCCUCAGAUUCGACUCCCAGAGACAAGGAUGAACAUGCGUGCAGAUAACGUAAACAUGCACGCACUGGGGGAAAACCGCAUGCACAAUUAGUUCUCGAGCAUCUCGGCCAACGUCCGUAUACAGAGAGGAAGACGUCAAUCACUGGCUCCCUUCUCGUUAAGCUUGAGGAAAAAAAUAAAUAAAUAAAAAAUAACCCAACAAGCUGUUAUGUAAGAGUAUUAAAAACAAAAAAAACAAAAAAUGCGAGCGACGAGUAAACUGUGAGACGGAGGUCACCUCUGCAGAGGUAUGUCCUUAGCCUCAGGCCAGGGAUCAGAUUCAUUAAGAGCGAAAAGAGCCGAGCAUUAGAGGCGAGGGACUCCAGACGAGGGAGGACCAUGGGAAAAUGGGCGCUUGUCAUUUUCCAUCGUUUUUACUGAGCCUUUCUCAGCAUCAUGAACGUACAGGACGACAUACUUGCUGUGGGGGCUCGGGGGGCAGUGUAAUACAGACAUACCCAAUACACGAAGACAACAAAAUGAACCAGUAAGCUACAAGUAAUAUCCAUCAUUUUUCCACAGAGGAUAAAGAAUAUAUGCCUCCCUCGUCGCUAACAGCACGCAUCAAAGGGAUGUGCCAUAAGGAAGGAGAAUGGCAGAGGCUCCGCCCCCUACCAUGCAGAGAGCGUGGGAAGCGCUGCCUGUCCGGGGGAGGGAUGUCUGGACUCGCACAAGGGCUGCGCACAACUUUCACCUGAUCCGCUGUCAUAGUGACAGACAACCUGGGAAUUUAAUACAAUACACGGACGAGCCCUGUCAAGAGACAACACUGGUACUGGUGGCAGCUUGAAAAAUGAAAGACACCUAUACUCUGGGAAUUUGAACCAGACUAAGGAAUUGAAAUGCUAUGCGAUGCCAUGGAAAUAAUUUGCAUUCCUGAGCGGCAAGCAAGUAUAAAAGAGAAUGUAGACUACAGGAAAUCUACAUUGUUGUGGUGUAAAACUGCGAGGAUGCUGGCAUGUAUGUCACCCUUUCGCAACUUGAUUAAAAAAAAUUAAAAUUCUACUUUCCUAUUAACCAUUUCAUUACAUUUUUGACUCAGUAAUACACAGAUACUCUCAUUUUAAACAUAUAUCUCAAAAGACAAUCUUACUGUACCUUGCGUGAAGCAGCUGGCCGUUUCCAGCUGAUGUUAACUUUCACCACUGCCAUAGCAAUCCCCACCUUUCUCUGCAUCAUCUUAAGUCUACCACCCUGCUUUCUCCAGCGUAAACCCCACAAGGAGUCUCCACUGCCUGUUGAACCACUACUGGAACCUUCCAUCACUCUGCUGUCAAGCUGGCUGGCUACCAGCUUCCAGCUACUACUCCACUAUCAUGGUGCUCCAAACAUACUAAACACUAAUUACUCCCAUGAGUGUUUAUUGUUAAGCAUCCUUGGGUUCCUUGAAAGGCACUAUAAAUCGAAGCAAUUAUUACUAUUAUUGCAGGGUUUUUCCUAGCUCAAACUGAGGUAGAGUUAGUACCAUUCACACAGGUGUUAUGCCUUGCUCAAAGCAACACUAUUUCUUUUGAAGUAUUUCCAUGUAUUUUAUUAUUCUUUCAAUUUUUAUUUCCCUAAAAGUACUCAUUGCCAUCUUGCCAUGAAAAAUACUUAUUUUAUGAAACAUUUCUGAAAACGUCCAAAACAUUGGGUGUAACAUUUAUUUGUCUUUAACUGCCAAAGGCGGCGUAAUUGGUUACAAAAGAAAUAAUAUUUACCUUCACAAAUCUGUCAACGGUUUUAUGUCAAUGGAAUGUGACAUCCAACUGUUUUCGAUACAAUUGCAGUUAAAAGUAACCCAACUUAUAGCAACGCUGGUCAAAUAAGAGCUUUCAUGAUGUCAGUUUUUAGAGCUAGAUGUGGAUUCUGGCCGCCUCCAAAUUUUAUAUGCAAGAAAAAACCCGUAUUAUUAUGUCUCCUCUACAUUGUAUUUUAUUUUUAUUUUUGUGGGGUGCGGGGGGGGUCUGAAAACAGGGAAAGGGAUUAACAGUACACUAAGACCAGUAAAGAACUGGAGCCAAAGUCCCCAUUUAUUUCUGCCAUUGAUUCACUUUCUUUUGGCCCAUAAAGCUCUUUGUAAGCCCCCCUCACACCACCCCCACCUCCUCUCCUCCUUCAGCCAGCCUGGCUUCUUCCACAUCACUAUAACAACCAGGGUUGUAGUGCACCAUAACCCCCACUCUCCAGUUCACAAUAAGCAUAAUGAUAACGUGAGGAAAACUACUAUAAACUAUAUAGUUCUAUGAGAACAAAAUGGACGACUUA